UCAGAUUCUUAACUAGUAUUUUUUCUAUCAUAUAUAUGAAAACAAAAGAAGCUAAAGCAGAUGAAGGAGAAGGAGAAAAGAAAACAAACAGUUUUCUUGAUAAAACCGAUCAGGGAAAGACCCUGAAUCUUCAAAUGGAACACUCAUUUGAGCAAGAGCCUGUGAGCCACUCUCAACAAAUAAGUCCAAUGGCAACGAGGUUCUAAAUGACCUCGACCUUGGACCUUCAUGGUCAUCAGCAUUGGGAGUGCAAUUUUUUCCAUUUUGCUCCAAAGAUGGAGUGCUGAUAACAUUCCCAUGCCACUGCAUUUGUUUGGCUACAACCACGAGUCUCCAUCGACGUCUGUGGUGCUUUUGUUACAAUGCCGUUCUGAUCGUGAAGGAUAACAUGCCUUAAACUCCAUACGUUAAAAAAUGAUGGAGACGAUAACAAAUUAAGAUAAUAUGUAUGUUUAUACGCUUUUUGCUUCCUGUUUUCAACAAAAGAAAUUACAGGAUACUUAUUGAUUUUUCUCCA